GACGUAGGGCGCGAGCGUUGUCCGGAUUUAUUGGGCGUAAAGGGCUCGUAGGCGGCCAACUAAGUCAGACGUGAAAUCCCUCAGCUUAACUGGGGAACUGCGUCUGAUACUGGAUGGCUUGGAUUCGGGAGAGGAAUGCGGAAUUCCAGGUGUAGCGGUGAAAUGCGUAGAUAUCUGGAGGAACACCGGUGGCGAAGGCGGCAUUCUGGACCGAUAUUGACGCUGAGGAGCGAAAGCCAGGGGAGCAAACGGG
rnacentral:rRNA from 1 species